rnacentral:lncRNA from 1 species
UUUUAGUCACAUUUUUUCAUGUUGGUUGUCUUUCUAACAGAUUCCACAUUUCUGUGUGUGUGCGUGUGCAUGUGUGUGUGUGUGCACACACGCCAAGCCUUUUAUAUUUAAACCCUGUUGUUGCCAUUUUCAUUUCCUUGGGAAACACACACACUUACACAAAAACACACACAUCUUUUACUUGGAAAAUGGAUGAAUCCCGUGCUUUCUGAACACCUACUUAAAAGAGGCAUAUGCCAUCUCAGCAGGGUCCAGGGGCCAUCAACAGCAAGGGCUGGACUACUAGAGACAUCAUGGAAGGUGACCAAACACUCCCUCAGAGGCGUGGCCGGUUCAACAUAGAAGCUGCAAGUUUAUAACUGCAACAGUCUGCCCUUGGAGAUCAUACCAGCAUUUAUUUCAAAUCGAUGUUGAAAAAUAAAUGACCAGGUCUCACUCUUAUCACCCAAUCUGGAGUGCAGUGGAAUGAUCAUAGCUCACUGCAGCCUCGAUCUCCUGGGCUCAAGCAAUCGUCCCACCUCAGCCUCCCAAAUACCUGGGUCUGCUUGUAGCUGGGACUACAAGCACGUGCUACUGUGAUUGACUAUUUUUUGUGGAGAUGGGGUCUUGCUGUAUUGCCCAGGCUGGUCUUGAAAUCCUGGCCUCAAGUGAUUCUCUUGCCUCAGCCUCCCAAAGUGUUAGGAUUACAGGUA